GCUUGUGUGAUAACGCUAUAUGAUAGUGUUUAAUGACUCUAAUGCCAUCACCUGCAGGUGACAUUCAGCCUACAUGCACCCUAGCGCGUCCUUGCCCUGUCCAAAGUCUCCCAUGUCCUGUAGAGCAGGGAGCAUUAGCGUUACCACCCCACAAUGCUGUCCCCCACAUGGCGCUUGGAGUGUGCACUCCUGCAGCGGAUACUGAAGCCUUGGUGGUGACGUUGAGGUGGCUGAGAUCCAUGAGGAAUCCUUAAAUGACUCUGUUGCGGGCAGUCUGGCGUCAGCGUCAUUUCUGUCUAACGAUGGAGCACCUCACAUGGAAGGCACAACAUCUGAGAGUGUCUCUGUCUCCCCAGAGAGCGCCACGGUAGCGGAGCAACAGCGCAAGCUGCCGUUGGCUUACAAGAAAAUUGCGAAGUUGGAGAAUGAGCUAGCAGCUCAUUUAGGACUCCUUAUAUCAUAAUAGUGAAAUAUGUUCAGGCAGUUUUGAUGACUAUUGAUGCUUUCGGUAAUAGGUGACCCACGCACAAGGCUGGCGGAUGACCAGCUGACCUCGAUCAAGAAUGGGGACAUGAGAGAAAACAGACGGAGCGCUGGUACGCUCGAGAUGAGCCUGAAAAUUCGUCUUGCCUGUGGUAGACGAGGAUACUCGUAUGUCAGGGACAACCAUCUUCCUCUUCCAUGCGAACGGACCCUACAGCGGAAAAUUGAGGAUAUCAAGUUCAAGCCAGUAUCAGUGGACGUGAAAGACUAGGCGAGGAGUCACGG